rnacentral:pre_miRNA from 1 species
AAUAAAUGCAGUUUUGUACUAUUCACGUUCAACGUUUGACCGUUCGUCUUAUUUGAAAUUUUUUUAUGAUUAAUAUUUUUAUUGCUAUUAGAUGAUAAAACAUAAAUAGUACUUUAUGUGUGACUAAAUAUUUUCAAAUUUUUCAAAUAAGACGGACGGUCAAAUGUUGGGCACGGAUAUCCACGGCUGCACUUAUU